rnacentral:tRNA from 1 species
GCACCCGUAGUUUAAUGGAUAGAAUGAGGGAUUCCGGUUCCCUUGGUUACGGUUCGAUUCCGUACGGGUGUAC